rnacentral:lncRNA from 1 species
GAGGCUCAGGUAAUCCAGUCACUGGCCAAGUUACCCUUCUACCCUUUGCCUAGGGCCUGCACAAAGGAGAAGGGAGGGCCGGAAAAGACCUCAGUCUUUGCUAAGCCCUUUCCACUGCUGUUGAAUUUGGGAUUUGAGGCUAAGCAAAGUCUGCUUAAAAAGAUCAUAGCACCAGUGACAGUUGGGAAAAAAUACAUGUCUGAACUUGUUUAGCUGAACCCACACGUUGGUGUGGAGUGAUAGGCUAAACGCUUAUUCCUUUGUUUGCUUUUCCUAAUAAGAGAAAAUGGAUGUGAAAGACCAUGAGGCUUUACAAACAUCCGGGGCUAAUACUGGUGGUUGGACUCACUUAGUCCUUAUGGAACCGAGCCAUCACUACUCACUGAGCUCAGGGGAUGGCCAUAAAUACCCACAGAGGACAUGCGUGUGGGGGUAAUGAGCAUCAUCAAGCCUUUUGCACAUGUACUGUGCCCAAGAAUCCUAUAAAGGGAUUAUUAUUUCCCCAUUUCACACAUGGGAAAACUGAGGCCCCGACGGGGGAAGUGACUUGCCCUUAUAGCCAGCCAGGACUCACACCCCAUUCACUCUGAGAACAUGGUCUGAGUUCUUAACUACCAGGCUACACUAUUUUCUCUAUAAUGGACAAAAAGUCUGCCGAGAUUUUCACUUUUUCCAAAUCACUCUCACCAUCUUAGUUGUUCCUCUCAGCAAACUGAGAGCCACCAGGGUAGGUGUUAUGCCCACUUGACAGUUUGGGAAACUGAGGCCUAGAGGGGAACGUAACUGGGCUGGGAUCACACAGCAAGUUAGGGGAGCGGCCAGCACUGGAGUCCUCGCCUCCUGACAUCCAGGCCCGAGCUGGAAUCAUGCGGUGCCUGAACCUGUGCCCUUCUCCUCAGACGGCAGCAGUCUCUUGCUUUGCCUUUUGAGGGCAGGAGACCCCCCGUUUUCUGAAGGAGCCUCCCAGUGUGGGGGCAGAGGGUGACACCUUUAAGGCAGAUCCCCUCAGGAGUCUGGCCUCCUUGAGCCGGCUUCUUCUCUCUCCCUCCUUCUUUUGCUCCCUUCUUUCUCUCUGUCUGCCUUGGACGCUGUGGAAGGGGCGGUCAAGGGCCCACACUGUGGUUCUGAUAUGUCCAGGGAACAGCCAGGCGGGAGCCUCAGAGCCUGAGGAACUGGGGGUGAAAGGAACUCGGACAGCCAGCGCAUUGCCGGAUGAGGAGUCUGUGGCAGUAACAGCAGGCAACAGUAACACUGAUAAUAGUAAUCAAUGCUGACAGAUAACCUCUACUGAGCACUUGGUGCUAAACCUCGUACAUGCUUCUUGUGAUCAUGUGAUUUCUAUCAGUCUCCAUUUUACAGAUGAGAAAACCGAGGGCAGAGAGGUAAGAGACUUACUCAAGACUCAGAGCCAGCGGUGGUGCUGGGAGUAAACCUAAGUUUCUCUGUCCCCAAGGCCUGUGCUAUUCACCUGAUACCACAUUUGUCCAAGGUCAUGGCGCCAGGAUCAGGACCAGAAUCCCAGGUGGUCGUCCUUCCUUCCAUCCUUCCUUCCUUCCAUCCUUCCCACCUUCCUCCAUUCUUCCCUCCCUCUCUCCUUUCCUUCCACAAAAAUGCACUGAGUGCCUACUCUGUGCCAGGCACUAGGUCAGGUGCCAGGUAAACAGAAUCCUUCUGUGCCUUCCAAUGUUCCCAGCUCCCCUCGGAUGUCUUAGAUCCCUGCUGUGGGGCUGGCAGGUUCCCUGGGGCCCCUAAAAUCAAAGUCACCCCCUCACUGGAGCCUUUAAGAUCCCCAGGCCCCUCCCCACUGAAGGCCGCUCCCUCACGCCUCUCGUACACACACAGAACGCUGCAUAAACGCUCAGGAUUCUCCAAGUAAGCACAGGUCCCCCACCUUUUUGUUAUCCUUAGACCCUCCGGGGCUCAUUACCUCCCUGCACACAGCUUAGGUGACCUCAGAUCAGCACCGCGGAAAUCCAGCUCCCUGUUCCUGCCUGCCUGAAGCCUCGCAGGGUGCUACACCAGCACCGUGGCAUGUCCUCCAGAAACACAGAGCACCCGGGCUCUGAACACAUAAGGGGGCCGUGGCCACGCCCCCAGACAGGCAGUAGAACUCUGGUCAGGAGCCACGCUGACCUGGGUGGGACCUGGGGGCAAGUCCCAGCCUCAGUUUCCCCAUUGGUAGAUCAUAAUAGGAAGUAUUUGCUGAGCGCUUAUUUUGUGCACUUGGUAAGUGUCUUGCGUAUAUUAUUAACUCACUUAAUCCUCUCAAUGAACCUGUGAAGUAGGCACUAUUGUUACCCCCAUGUUUCAGAUGAGACUCCCAUGGCACAGAGAGGCCAAGGCACUUGCCUGGGGAUACUCAGCUAGUAAGUGGUGGGCACCCCGUCCUGGCUCUGGGGCGGGCUUUCCUACCCACUUCAACACGCUGUCCCCUCUGUCAAGUGGAUACGAUAAUAAUCGCUGCUCGUUAAAGGAGAUAAUUCACCUAAAGCAUUCAGGAGGGGAAAGAGGGACACAGGAGGUGCUCAAUAAAUGAUCACUAUCAUUUAAAUGUCUUGUACAUAGUUGGUGCUUAAUAACUGUUAACAAACUAAGUACACCAGAACUGGGGCACACAAACCCCACAAUCAGAGGAAGAGAGGGGCAGGCGAGAGCAUUUAUUGAGCAGCCACUGUAUACGGGGAUGGGUGAGAGGAGUAAUGUGGGAACCCCACAGGAGCCUGGGGAGACAGCCUGGGUUCUACUUCCUGCCCCGGCCCAGAGGGGUGACAGUCAGGGUUUUGUUUUGGGGGCCCAGCUCUAAGGCUGGGCCAUGAUUCUGUCCUGCUCCUCCGGCUGAGUGCCCCUGGGUUUCCAUGGGGGCAGGUAUACCUUUUGUCUACAGGGAGAAAAUGCAUGUUAUUAAAAAGGAAAUGACCCUGGCCCCACAGCCUCUUGAGCUGCUGACCCGCAGGUUCCCCCAGCCUUGGACUGCUCGCCCCGCAGAGCCACGGCCAGAGCACCAUCAGCUCCCAGGCCUUAUCUUGCCCUGGAAAGCCAUCGAGUCACCUUCCUGGCUCCAGAGUGGGCAGAUCGGAGCCAGACACCUGCUAGGUGGAUGGAGUCUUUGCAAGGUCGCCCUUCCCUUCCUGUGCCCCAAAGAUUGGUGGGGGGAACGUCAGAUAAGUUCGGCUUAGGUAUCUCCAACCCCCACUGUACACACCUGGCCAGACACAAGGAGAGAAAGGAGCCGGGGCCUGGAGACCCUGGCUCCACAGAUCACUGGCUCUGUGGCCUUGGGCAAGACUCUGCACCUCAGUCUCUCCUCUGUAAAAUGGGAAUAGUGAGACCUUUCUCUUGGGUCGUGUGGUGAAGGUUAAAGGAAUGUUGGUUUCCCUCUCUCGUCACUUUCCUGUCCUUGAAGAGCUCACAGUACGGUUGAGAGAAGGGCUUGUGGGCAGCUAAUAGUGAUGCAGUGGAGUGAAAGUAGGGGAUUGAGAUGAGCUAAGGGGCUAGAGGAAGGGAGGUGACAUUGUGCUGGCCUCUAAAGGUCAGGUGGCAUUUUCCAGGUGGAGGAGUAGGGUUGCCAUUCCAGGUAGGGGAGCAGCCUGAGCAAGCACCUGUGGGGUGCAAGAGGGAGGCAGGGUUGGAGCAAGGUGAGAAGAGCGCUAUGGUCACAGCACAGGAUGGGUGUGGGGAAAAGCUCUCUAAUGGCCUGCUGAAGAGUUUGGACUUGACCCCAUAGGUGAUAGGGAGCCAUAGAAUGUUGCUGGGUGAGGGAGUGACAUGGUCAGACUUGUGUGGUAGCUGGAGUGGGAGGAACAAGCCUGGAGUGGGGAUGACCUGAGGAGGCUGGGGCGGGGCCCCCGAGAGAGAUUAGGCCUGAAUUCAUGAAUGCUCCUGACUCACAGUUGUAGGGGCUCAAUGCAUGCUGGGAAGGUUUUCAGAAGGAGGUAGGCUUUGCCCUGUACCCUGAAGGAAUCACAGGAGGAGAGGGGAGCAGGAAAGGGCGCGCCAGGCAGGGGC